AACGAACGCUGGCGGCAUGCCUAACACAUGCAAGUCGAACGAGACCUUCGGGUCUAGUGGCGCACGGGUGCGUAACGCGUGGGAAUCUGCCCUUGGGUUCGGAAUAACAGCGAGAAAUUGCUGCUAAUACCGGAUGAUGACGUAAGUCCAAAGAUUUAUCGCCCAAGGAUGAGCCCGCGUAGGAUUAGCUAGUUGGUGAGGUAAAGGCUCACCAAGGCGACGAUCCUUAGCUGGUCUGAGAGGAUGAUCAGCCACACUGGGACUGAGACACGGCCCAGACUCCUACGGGAGGCAGCAGUGGGGAAUAUUGGACAAUGGGGGGCGAACCCUGAUCCAGCAAUGCCGCGUGAGUGAUGAAGGCCUUAGGGUUGUAAAGCUCUUUUACCAGGGACGAUGAUGACGGUACCUGGAGAAUAAGCCCCGGCUAACUUCGUGCCAGCAGCCGCGGUAAU
rnacentral:rRNA from 1 species